AUCCCCACAUGUCAUGGGAGGGAAGGUAAUUUAAUCAUGGGGGUGGUUACCCUCAUGCUGCUCAUGCUGUUCUCAUGAUAGUAAGCCAGUUCUCAUGAGAUCUGAUGGUUUUACGAGGGGCUUACCCCUUCACUCAGCUCUCAUACUUCUUCCAGCUGCCCUGUGAAGAAAGACGUGUUUGCUUUUCCUUCAGCCAUGAUUAUUUGAUGAAGCCAGCUUUCAUGUUACGAGCUACCUCUGUGGAGAAGCCCACAUGUCAAGAGAGUGGAUGACCCUCUUGCCCACAGCCAGUGAGGAAUGGAGGCCCUGAGGCCAAUGGGCUACAAAGAACUAAAUCCUGUCAACAUUCAUAUGCAUGACCUUGGAAUCAGAUCCCACCCCCAUCAAGGCCUGACAUGACUGCAAUCCCAGCUGACAUUUUGAUUGUAGUCAUGUAAGAGUCCCAGAGGACCCAGUUAAGCUAGGCACAGUCUCUUAAUGCGGGGAAAUUGUGAAGUAAUUAGUACUGUUGUUUUGGGAUAAUGUGUUACGUAACAAGAGACAGGUGAUACAACAUCUCUGAGAUUCUCAACAUGUUUGGUAAAAAUAAUUAAACUGCUUUUAAUGUAUAUGUCAUGAUUAAUGUUAUCUAUAAUGAGUGUAUUAGGGAUACAUUAAUAUUCACAAAGACUAUAUAGCUAUUAACUAAUUGUUCUGUGGCUUAUAGACAUAAUUUUGGAUGAUUCGUUCUUUUUUUGCCACUAAUAAAUAUACAAAAACCUUUCAUGUUUUAAAAUGAAUAAAAAGUUAUAAUUCUGAAGAGGUCCUUUAUUUAAAUGAAACACACUAAAACCAUUGAAUUUUAAUAUUUAUAUUAUGAAAUGAUCUGCCACUGUUUUUUGUAAGUGUACCUGCUAUUAUGACUAUAUUUUCAAGUUAAAGAUUCAUGACGUUUUUGUGAGAAAAUAUUUUAAAAACUUGUUAAUUUUUUCAGAUUAACUACAAAAAAUCUAUUGUAAAAAUUUAUAAAAUACUAAUAAUUAAGUCUCUUUAUUUUCAUGUCAGUGCUCUUAAAAUAUAGGUUGUUUCAAAGACAGUAGCAAUAAAAAUGUCAAUUCAGAAUUCCUUCAGGGAUGACCCUAAGUCUAACAGGUAUAUCCUUUGAAACAAGAAAAAUAUCUAGCACCUUGGGAAAUGAAAAUAGUACAUUUUUAUUUUCUCUUAAUAAAAUUAACUCAGAUUGUCAAUUGUUUAUUGUUUCUGUUUGAUACCAUUGAGGUAUUUGUUCCAGAGAUAAAAAUAUGUAUGCUGAAAAUACUGGAAAUUUUUGGAUGUAUUUUAAAACAGAAAAGAACAAGACCAGGUGCGGGGGCUCAUGCCUGUAAUCCCAGAACUUUGGGAGACUGAGGUGGGUGGAUCACAAGGUGAAGAGUUCAAGACAAGCCUGGCCAAGAUGGUGA
rnacentral:lncRNA from 1 species